AUGAUUCUGUGGGGUCUUCUCCUCUGCCUGGUGACAGCACCCCUGGGUGUCCUGUCCCAGGUGCAGCUGCAGGAGUCGGGCCCAGGACUAGUGGCCCCCUCCGGGACCCUCUCCCUCACCUGCUCUGUCUCUGGUUACUCCAUCUCCUCUGGUUACUGCUGGGCAUGGAUCCGCCAGACCCCAGGGAAGGGCCUGCUCUGGUUGGGGUAUAUAUGUGCUAGUGGAAACACUAACUACAGCCCAUCCUUCAAGGGCCGCGUCUCCAUCACCAGAGACACGAACAAGAACCAGUUCUUCCUGCAGCUGAGUUCAGUGACCCCCGAGGACACAGCUGUGUAUUACUGUGCUAGAGACACAGAUAGAGCCUAUGGCAAUGGUGCCGUGGCCGCAGAGACCCAGGUUGAGCAUUUCUAA